rnacentral:rRNA from 1 species
GACGAACGCUGGCGGCGUGCCUAACACAUGCAAGUCGAGCGAAGUGAGUACUACGGUACGAACUUAGCGGCGGACGGGUGAGUAACGCGUGGACAAUCUACCCUGUAGACUGGGAUAACACCUCGAAAGGGGUGCUAAUACCGGAUAAUGUCGAGAAGCGGCAUCGCUUUUCGAAGAAAGGAGAGAAUCCGCUAUAGGAGGAGACCGCGUCCCAUUAGCUAGUUGGUGAGGGUAACGGCCCACCAAGGCGACGAUGGGUAGCCGGCCUGAGAGGAUGAACGGCCACACUGGAUCUGACACACGGUCCAGACUCCUCCGGGAGGCAGCAUUAGGGAAUAUUGUGCAAGGGGGGAAACCCUGAAACAGCAACGCCGCGUGAGCGAAGAAGGCCUUCGGGUUGUAAAGCUCAAUAGUAUGGGAAGAUAAUGACGGUACCAUACGAAAGCCCCGGCUAACUACGUGCCAGCCGCCGCCGUAACAC